rnacentral:rRNA from 1 species
GAUGAACGCUGGCGGCGUGCCUAAUACAUGCAAGUCGAACGAAACUUCUUUAUCACCGAGUGCUUGCACUCACCGAUAAAGAGUUGAGUGGCGAACGGGUGAGUAACACGUGGGCAACCUGCCCAAAAGAGGGGGAUAACACUUGGAAACAGGUGCUAAUACCGCAUAACCAUAGUUACCGCAUGGUAACUAUGUAAAAGGUGGCUAUGCUACCGCUUUUGGAUGGGCCCGCGGCGCAUUAGCUAGUUGGUGGGGUAAAGGCUUACCAAGGCAAUGAUGCGUAGCCGAACUGAGAGGUUGAUCGGCCACAUUGGGACUGAGACACGGCCCAAACUCCUACGGGAGGCAGCAGUAGGGAAUCUUCCACAAUGGGCGAAAGCCUGAUGGAGCAACGCCGCGUGGAUGAAGAAGGUCUUCGGAUCGUAAAACCCUGUUGUUAGAGAAGAAAGUGCGUGAGAGUAACUGUUCACGUUUCGACGGUAUCUAACCAGAAAGCCACGGCUAACUACGUGCCAGCAGCCGCGGUAAUACGUAGGUGGCAAGCGUUAUCCGGAUUUAUUGGGCGUAAAGGGAACGCAGGCGGUCUUUUAAGUCUGAUGUGAAAGCCUUCGGCUUAACCGGAGUAGUGCAUUGGAAACUGGGAGACUUGAGUGCAGAAGAGGAGAGUGGAACUCCAUGUGUAGCGGUGAAAUGCGUAGAUAUAUGGAAGAACACCAGUGGCGAAAGCGGCUCU